UCUAGAUCUAGAUAUGGUGAGGCAGAGGUAAAAGAUAGUCCCAAAGAGCCAUGGUGCUCAAAUACCAGUGCCUGAAAACGUUGCUUCCAAAUGGUAAACUUACUCAAGCAGAACAGAUGAGACCCAAAAAUGCAGAUUCCAUCAAUAAGUCUGCGCUUCAUGUCUUGCUGAAGCUGGGAACACAAAUAGAUCUGCUCACUUUACUCUCAUUAGCUGCAUCAGGGGGAAAUAAAGAAAAAAAGCAGGGCUUUCCUACUGAUUGGGGUUUGUGCUUUAACAGUCUUAAAAGAAGCGUAAAUAAGAUGGGCUGUGUUUUCUAACCAUUCUUAUUGUUCUUAUUCUUUAAAACAUUCAAACGGCAUUGAGAUGUUUAUUUGUGAGUGCCUGGUGUGUAGGGCUGGGGGAUUUUUCUCCUCCCAAGGGUUCCAGUGUAGAAGGUGGUAAUGUUGACAAUACUGCUUAAUUUGUUCUUGUUCUCCAAACAGAGGAAAAUAUUGUCCUCUGAGAAAGCCACUUAAGUGUGUGUUUUCUGUCCCACCUCCCUUUUCAUCCUGUAAACUGAGGUAAAUUAGUAGAGGCAAAACAGUUAACGGAAGUAUGGUUUAUAUUCAGUGGAGUGUAAAUAGAAGUGACUCCGUUAGUGAAAAUGCCAAACACCAUAAAAGUCUUUGUAUCUCAGCCUACAUGGCUGAUCCUGUAGUGAUCUUCAAAGGUCUGCUAUCUGAGGAAAGUGAUGACAUGAAGGAAGUAUUCAGCAUGGAAGAUCAUGUAGAGAUCAAGAGAAUUGGAAAAGAAGUCAGCAGAAAUAAUAUCUGUAAAGGAGAACAUGUAUAGGAGAAAAAAUAGAAGUUGGAAAUUGUCUAAUAUUAAAGGUUUUAGGAACAGAAGGCAUGAUGGUGAGAGCUUAAGGAAAAACCAAAAGGAAUAGUUAAGGCCAUAAAUAUAUGAUGAUGGCUGUAGCAGGAUAUGGAGUGGAAGGGAAGCGGGACUUUAUGGGAGUGUGUGAGGAGUGGAUCAUGAAUUCCCACAUAAAGUACAGGGAGGGCAUGUAUUUGUAGCGGGGCAGUUCUACUGCUCCAUUUCAUGUUUCUCCUAAUAAGAGUGUGUACACAGCCUUUUUGGUUGUUGCUUAUGUCAACAGGCGUUUCAUUUGUAAGCAAAACUCUGCAUUGUUAGCCUUCUGGUUGCAAUCAAACCUCACUAACAGGUCUGUUUCUAGUUCUUAUAGCCGUGAAGAAGAUGGUCCUUUCUCUCUCAUUCAGCUGCUGAGUUGCAUGGCCUGUAGCUAGGCAUUCUGAAACAAUACUGAGUAAGCUGGAACUUCAGCACUCAUCACUGAGAAGUGACAAAUUUCCUGUCUCUGACUAUCCAUUACAGCACCAAAACUUACACUGGAAACAAAAAUUUGUCUUCAGCGUAAUUCAGAGCCUCAUGGUAAAAACAUAUCACGUGGUUAACCUUUAGUACAGUGUAACAUUUAAGGAAUAGUUUACAUCUUUUGCUGGUAAAUUACUACAUAAAUAUUUAGAUUAGGUACCAAUAGGAAUGUGGCAUUAUUUAUGGAUCCAUAUUUCUUUGGCAUUUAAGAUGCAUGGUUGUUUUGCUCCUUAAUAAAUGCAGACAUUAAAAGAACAUGCACGCACAAAGUGCUAAUUCUAAACCAUUGCAGCUCUGGGGAGAAAAGUCUCCACGUUUUGUUAGAACUGCUUGUUGUCUCCUGUUUCACGAUGGAGAGAAAUCAUUUGAAACACUUGCAGUUUCAUUAAGCUCCUUUAUUUCUGAUACUUGUCACGGAGUGACAUGUCUCACCUGCUAGUGCAGAUUGGUAGCAGAGCAACCUGUCAGAUCUGAAGAUGUUUUGGUGCUGUCUGUGCCCUCUCACUUCAGAGGCAGAUGUGUUAAGGUACAGUUAAUGCUUUAAUUUUUGCCCCUAACUUGCUUCAGUUCCCUCUCAUCUCAAUCCUUGGAAGGACAAGGGAGAGAAUAUAUGAAAUGUCUCACUGGAAGUUAUCAAAACAACCCCCAGAUAAACCCACAAACAAACAACCCACCAAACACGGGAAAUGUUUGGUUUGGGUAGAGAUUAGAUUAUGAGUGGAGUCUGAUCACAAUGGUUCGUUGCCAUGGCAGGGCACAGGUAUUCAGAUAAUUGUCCUUAAAGAGUAACUUCCCAGACUGUAGUGGAAGGUGCUCUGAGAUCUGAUGUACAUGAAUUCUCUUAUCUGUACUCAUGGACUUCAGCAAAGUUAACAAAAUCAAGUAACUUUUGUGCAGCUCAGAGUCUUCCCUUUAUGAAUUAUCCUCUCUUUUAGGCUGAUGGUGCAGGGUGAUGCCAAACAGCCUUGUCCAUUGAUACCUGUAAGCUGUUCAGGUACUGCAGUGAUGGAUCUUCCUAACUGUAACAUCAGAUGAAAUUUCCAUUUGAGAUGUAAAAGGCAAGAGUGUUUCCUUGAUCUAUUGAAAUUUAGGAAAGGUACGGAGCAGCUUUGCUGCAAUCUUGGCAUCCAAAUUAACUCUGCACUUUCAAAGUUAAUUCUUCAGGAGCAGUCAUGCCUCUGUGGUCUCACCAAUGGGAACACUUUGUUUGCUGAAAGCUUUUGUUUGUGCCUGGGACAUGGCAGAAAUAUCACCUGAGACCUGCAGGAUCUUAUAUUCCGGUUUACUGAUGCAGAACGCUUUCUUGUCUUGCAUUUUGAACUUCUCUGAGAAAAGAGACUGUACUUGUGCAUCUUUAUGAAGCCUGUUUUUACCUGAAGGCACAAGCUCCCCAAAAGGGUAAAGCAGAUGUGAAUGGGGUCACUGUCACUCGAUGCAUCGGUUCUCCUGGAAAGACCCUUUUUUCCAACACAAAACUAAUCAGCCGGAUUAAGCAUCUUAGUCCCCAAGAAAAUCCCAAGCACUGUUCGUGGGGCUCCUGGAAGUUGUCUUUGCUUCCCAGUGGAACCAUUCCAGGUCAUUUAUUUUAUUCCUCCUGAAUAAAUAUUAAUCAUUUGAUUUGAAA